rnacentral:rRNA from 1 species
CCUACGGGGGGCAGCAGUGGGGAAUAUUGCACAAUGGGGGGAACCCUGAUGCAGCAACGCCGCGUGAAGGAAGACGGUUUUCGGAUUGUAAACUUCUAUCAAUAGGGAAGAAAGAAAUGACGGUACCUAAAUAAGAAGCCCCGGCUAACUACGUGCCAGCAGCCGCGGUAAUACGUAGGGGGCAAGCGUUAUCCGGAAUUACUGGGUGUAAAGGGAGAGUAGGCGGCAAGGUAAGCGAUAUGUGAAAGCCUUAGGCUUAACCUGAGGAUUGCAUAACGAACUAUCUAGCUAGAGUACAGGAGAGGAAAGCGGAAUUCCUAGUGUAGCGGUGAAAUGCGUAGAUAUUACGCAGAACUCCGAUUGCGAAGGCAGCGUACCGGCGCCCAACUGACGCUGAAGCACGAAGGCGUGGGUAUCGAACAGGAUUAGAUACCCCUGUAGUC